CAGUAGCCACGGGAAUACGUAGGUGGCAAGCGUUGUCCGGAAUUAUUGGGCGUAAAGGGCUCGCAGGCGGUUUCUUAAGUCUGAUGUGAAAGCCCCCGGCUCAACCGGGGAGGGCCAUUGGAAGCUGGGAAACUUGAGUGCAGAAGAGGAGAGUGGAAUUCCACGUGUAGCGGUGAAAUGCGUAGAGAUGUGGAGGAACACCAGUGGCGAAGGCGACUCUCUGGUCUGUAACUGACGCUGAGGAGCGAAAGCGUGGGGAGCGAACAGGAUUAGAUACCCCCGUAGUCCCUGUCUCUUAUAC
rnacentral:rRNA from 1 species